AGCGAGCGCUGGCGGCAGGCCUAACACAUGCAAGUCGAACGAACUCUUCGGAGUUAGUGGCGGACGGGUGAGUAACACGUGGGAACGUGCCUUUUGGUUCGGAAUAACUCAGGGAAACUUGUGCUAAUACCGAAUGUGCCCUUCGGGGGAAAGAUUUAUCGCCAUUAGAGCGGCCCGCGUCUGAUUAGCUAGUUGGUGAGGUAACGGCUCACCAAGGCGACGAUCAGUAGCUGGUCUGAGAGGAUGACCAGCCACACUGGGACUGAGACACGGCCCAGACUCCUACGGGAGGCAGCAGUGGGGAAUCUUGCGCAAUGGGCGAAAGCCUGACGCAGCCAUGCCGCGUGAAUGAUGAAGGUCUUAGGAUUGUAAAAUUCUUUCACCGGGGACGAUAAUGACGGUACCCGGAGAGGAAGCCCCGGCUAACUUCGUG
rnacentral:rRNA from 1 species